rnacentral:rRNA from 1 species
AAUUUGCCCCUUAAUUGGGGGCUAGAAUGAACGGUGAUACUACCUAAUAUAUGACCCUGCGCCUGUGAACCUUUAUGUUGAGUGAAAACCCUCAAAUUUUAACACCAGACAAAAAGACCCUAUGAAGCUUACAGCACCAUCACCACAUAAGACUUUGGCUGUUUCUUUGGGGAAAAGGGCAAUAAGAAUAUUUCUACCUGUUGGAUCCUAAUGAGAAAAACGAAAAAGCUCCCCUAGGGAUAACAGCGCAAUACCGCUUUAAAGCCCACAUUAAAAGCGGUGC